rnacentral:lncRNA from 1 species
AGCUAACACAAGAUAGUUUUGCUCUGUUCUUGUAACAUUCCAACUCCCUACAGACUUUGGGGUUGUUAUCCUGUAAUCCUUGCAGAAGGCCCAGUAGAAGGUGCAAAUUCUUUAAGAACUUCUGUUCAGAAAUUCUAGCCAUCAAGCCUGCAGAGUUUUCCUGUGUCCUUGAUGAACUGCAGUGCAGAUGUUUCUUGUUCAUUACUCUCUACAUCAAUGGAUGACUGCCAUCAAGCACCCUGAGCUCCUCUUUGACCAGAACAGCAAAAUAAAGCAGGCUAAAGUCAUCACAUAA